rnacentral:rRNA from 1 species
CCUACGGGAGGCAGCAGUGAGGAAUAUUGGUCAAUGGCCGGAAGGCUGAACCAGCCAAGUCGCGUGAGGGACGACUGCCCUAUGGGUUGUAAACCUCUGUCCUCUGUGAAGAUAAUGACGGUAGCAGAGGAGGAAGCUCCGGCUAACUACGUGCCAGCAGCCGCGGUAAUACGUAGGGAGCAAGCGUUGUCCGGAUUUACUGGGUGUAAAGGGUGCGUAGGCGGCCCUGCAAGUCAGAAGUGAAAUCCAUGGGCUUAACCCGUGAACUGCUUUUGAAACUGUAGGGCUUGAGUGAAGUAGAGGCAGGCGGAAUUCCCGGUGUAGCGGUGAAAUGCGUAGAGAUCGGGAGGAACACCAGUGGCGAAGGCGGCCUGCUGGGCUUUAACUGACGCUGAAGCACGAAAGCGUGGGUAGCAAACAGGAUUAGAUACCCCAGUAGUC